GACGAACGCUGGCGGCGUGCCUAACACAUGCAAGUCGAGCGGAGAGGAAGGAGCUUGCUCCUGAAUCUUAGCGGCGGACGGGUGAGUAACGCGUGAGCAACCUGCCUUGAACUGGGGGAUAACGCAUCGAAAGAUGUGCUAAUACCGCGUAAGACCACAGUACCGCAUGGUACAGGGGUCAAAGGAGCAAUCCGGUUUAAGAUGGGCUCGCGUCCGAUUAGCUAGUUGGUGAGAUAACAGCCCACCAAGGCAACGAUCGGUAGCCGACCUGAGAGGGUGAUCGGCCACAUUGGAACUGAGACACGGUCCAGACUCCUACGGGAGGCAGCAGUGGGGAAUAUUGGGCAAUGGGCGAAAGCCUGACCCAGCAACGCCGCGUGAGGGAAGAAGGGUUUCGGCUCGUAAACCUCUGUCCUAUGGGACGAAGAAGUGACGGUACCAUAGGAGGAAGCCCCGGCUAACUACGUG
rnacentral:rRNA from 1 species